rnacentral:rRNA from 1 species
UUGCCCCGAGAUGAGUUCUCCCUGAGACUUUAGGUCUCCUGAAGGAACGUUGAAGACGACGACGUUGAUAGGCCGGGUGUGUAAGCGCAGCGAUGCGUUGAGCUAACCGGUACUAAUGAACCGUGAGGCUUAACCUU